ACAUUUAACUCUAUUGGAGUCAACUGACUCGAUGCUGCUCCUAAAAUUACCAUUGCAGUUGUUUUUAACCUGGCAUCUUCAAAUUAAUUCUACAGGAGGGAACAGGUUACCUUCUCGCCAACUGCAACUAACACUGUUUUCCAUGCCAUUAGCCAAAGAAGAUGUCAUGUCUCUCAAAGAAGCAGAAAAACAAACCAACCUUGCACCUAUUUAGUGUUUUGAUAUGGUAUACAACGUUAAGGAAAAUUAUAAAACAUUUUCAGAUUUCUAGAACAAGACACUGGAAAUUCAGACCUUCUACUGGCCUCUCAGAUACUUCAAGU